rnacentral:rRNA from 1 species
CACGUAGGGGGCAAGCGUUGUCCGGAUUUAUUGGGCGUAAAGAGCUCGUAGGUGGUUCGGUAAGUCGGAUGUGAAAUCUCCAGGCUCAACCUGGAGGGGUCAUUCGAUACUGCCGUGACUUGAGGUCGGUAGGGGAGUGUGGAAUUCCUGGUGGAGCGGUGAAAUGCGCAGAUAUCAGGAGGAACACCCGUAGCGAAGGCGGCACUCUGGGCCGAUACUGACACUGAGGAGCGAAAGCGUGGGGAGCGAACAGG